AGCGCAGGCGGUUUUUUAAGUCUGAUGUGAAAGCCUUCGGCUUAACCGAAGAAGCGCAUCGGAAACUGGGAAACUUGAGUGCAGAAGAGGACAGUGGAACUCCAUGUGUAGCGGUGAAAUGCGUAGAUAUAUGGAAGAACACCAGUGGCGAAGGCGGCUGUCUGGUCUGUAACUGACGCUGAGGCUCGAAAGCAUGGGUAGCGAACA
rnacentral:rRNA from 1 species